GAUGAACGCUGGCGGCGUGCUUAACACAUGCAAGUCGAACGGGAAUUAACUUAUUGAAACUUCGGUCGAUUUAAUUUAAUUCUAGUGGCGGACGGGUGAGUAACGCGUGGGUAACCUGCCUUAUACAGGGGGAUAACAGUCGGAAACGGCUGCUAAUACCGCAUAAGCGCACAGUCCCGCAUGGGACAGUGUGAAAAACUCCGGUGGUAUAAGAUGGACCCGCGUUGGAUUAGCUAGUUGGCAGGGCAACGGCCUACCAAGGCGACGAUCCAUAGCCGGCCUGAGAGGGUGAACCGGCCACAUUGGGACUGAGACACGGCCCAG
rnacentral:rRNA from 1 species